rnacentral:misc_RNA from 1 species
UGCCCCCAAGAAGCCCACAG